CCUGCGGAAGGAUCAUUGUCGAAACCUGCCCAGCAGAACGACCCGUGAACAUGUUAUAUACUCUCGAGCAUUGGGGUGAUGUAGGCAGUCUUGUGCUCCUACUUGCCCUUGUUUGAGCCAAGGGCCACCUUUGGGUUUCCCCUUGGCAACUCAACGAACCCCGGCGCGAAAAGCGUCAAGGAAAUAACAUUUAUAUGAGCUCCCUCCUUCCGCCCGGUUAGCCGGUGCGUUGGUGUGGUGCCAUGCCAUAACAUUAAACGACUCUCGGCAACGGAUAUCUCGGCUCUCGCAUCGAUGAAGAACGUAGCGAAAUGCGAUACUUGGUGUGAAUUGCAGAAUCCCGUGAACCAUCGAGUCUUUGAACGCAAGUUGCGCCCGAGGCCUUUGGCUGAGGGCACGUCUGCCUGGGCGUCACGCAUCGCAGUCCCCUACACCCACUAUAAGUGGUAUAGGAAGAAGAUGGUUUCCCGUCCCUUACCGGGCACGGUUGGCCUAAAAUUGGAGCUCAAGGCAUCGAGUUGCCGCGGCGAUAGGUGGUGAACAAGGUCAAGGCCGUGGAAACAACCAGUCGUGGAACCCUUUGCCAAUUGAAGCUCGUAGGACCCUUUCAUGUUGCCUUGUUGUGACGCAAAUGUUGCGACCCCAGGUCAGGCGGGGC
rnacentral:rRNA from 1 species